CGGACCCGUGGUACCGGCUGAUCGAAAAAAGCGUCGAACUCUAUUCUCAGUUCAACCCGCCCCCUUGCAUGGGGUGCAAGGGGUCGAGUGUUCGAAUCACUCCGUCCCGACCA
rnacentral:tRNA from 2 species